GUUGACGCACUAGACGCAGAAUAUUGACUUGGUGGAUUUCCGUGUUGGUGGAUAGCAUUUCUUACAGUAUUUCGCUGUUGUUUGUGUCUUUGAUCCUUGGUAUCUUGGCCAUGUAGUAAGAGUAUUUCUUUCAAGAUUUGAAUAAGGUGCGUUUGUGUCAGUGUUAGAGAUGUUAUUUGAUUUUAUUCAUGAUUUGGGAAGGAGGUGCGGUGGCGAUAAGUUACGACCACGUAGGCGAGUUCAUGUGUGCUUGAUUUUAUACACAUAUAAAACAGUACAACUCAAGUUGUAAGCAGGUUGCAGGCGACACUAUUAAACCCAGGUCACACUACACAAGGAUAACGAUACGAUAACUUGUAAACACGCGAUAAUUGGUAAAAAAAAUUUGUUGGUGUCCAUCACUGAGGUGUCCAUACUACAACGAAAACGAUAAAAUUGUCGUUUGACGAUAACGAUUUUAACAUCUUUCACCGGGGUGAUUCAGAGGAUAACGAUAAUUUUUUGACCAAUCAGCGUGCGUUAACGUCUAAUAUUGUAGUUUGCAUGAUGCAGUAUUAUUUUUAUUGGUUAAUUUAAUAAAGUGGCCAUGAAGUAUUGAGGUAUAUUUUUAAUUUGUUUUGUAUA
rnacentral:lncRNA from 1 species